rfam:Triticum aestivum genome assembly, contig: Triticum_aestivum_CS42_TGACv1_scaffold_433956_5DL
CAAGUACUCCCUCCGUCCGGAAUUACUUGUCAUCAAAAUGGAUGUGUCUAGAACUAAAAUACAUCUAGAUACAUCCAUUUCAAUGACAAGUAUUUUCGGACGGAGGUAGUACAAG